CUCAAAAGUACUCAACACGUGACACGAGCUUCCAAUAACAACGGAUUUUGUGUUUGAGCAAUGCCAAGAAAACGCAAAGGGGCUGAUUUAAGCCGCAGUACAAGUAAAGCUCGAAACUUGCGAAAUAGAAGAUCCGAAAGAACAGAAGAACAAAUCUAGCAA